rnacentral:rRNA from 1 species
UACGAAGGGGGCUAGCGUUGCUCGGAAUUACUGGGCGUAAAGGGUGCGUAGGUGGUUAGGUAAGUCCGAUGUGAAAUCUCCAGGCUCAACCUGGAAAUGGCAUUGGAUACUAUCUAGCUCGAGGAGUGGAGGGGGGACUGGAAUUCUCGGUGUAGCAGUGAAAUGCGUAGAUAUCGAGAGGAACACCAGUGGCGAAGGCGAGUCCCUGGACACUUCCUGACACUGAGGCACGAAAGCUAGGGGAGCAAACAGG